rnacentral:rRNA from 1 species
AGUGAACGCUGGCGGUAGGCCUAACACAUGCAAGUCGAACGGCAGCACAUUAAGAGCUUGCUCUUACGGGUGGCGAGUGGCGGACGGGUGAGGAAUACAUCGGAAUCUACUUUUUCGUGGGGGAUAACGUAGGGAAACUUACGCUAAUACCGCAUACGACCUACGGGUGAAAGCAGGGGUUCUUCGGACCUUGCGCGAUUGAAUGAGCCGAUUUCGGAUUAGCUAGUUGGCGGGGUAAAGGCCCACCAAGGCGACGAUCCGUAGCUGGUCUGAGAGGAUGAUCGGCCACACUGGAACUGAGACACGGUCCAGACUCCUACGGGAGGCAGCAGUGGGGAAUAUUGGACAAUGGGCGCAAGCAUGAUCCAGCCAUACCGCGUGGGUGAAGAAGGCCUUCGGGUUGUAAAGCCCUUUUGUUGGGAGAGAAAAGCAGCAGGUUAAUACCCCGCUGUUCUGACGGUACCCAAAGAAUAAGCACCGGCUAACUACGUG